CACUGCACAUCAUCAUAAAUCACUUUAAAACAGGAUGGCUGAGGACUUAACCCCUUCCCCACUGAGUCAUCAGGGCACUAUCCCUUCCUGUCUGUACACAGACUGCACUUCGGAAAGCGAAAAUUCUCAGAUUUCUACAUCUGACUGCUUGGUUUUCCUAGAGACAGAUAUUCAUUUGCGUCAGGAUGAUUGUCUGUACAUACACAGACAGUAUGUAUAUUUAUAGUUCCAUGCGUGUAUUUUUAUCUCUUUCUCCCUGCUUCAUGCAUUUCGUUUGAGGUUGGAAAAGCCCAUGGAAAACAUGGCUGGGUUGUUUUUAUUUUAUGCUAACUGGGGAUCAUAUUACUAUGUUCUUGUUCCUAGUUUCUCCUUGGCAUGAAAGGAAGCUGGUAAAAGGUUAGAAAUGCAGGCAAUGGCUGCUGUUCCCCUGAGAUUGUGGGUAGCCAUUACACAGGGAAAGGCCAUUAUGACCUCCAAUUCUGGACUCUGGCUAGAGAUGGUAGGCUAAGAGCUUCCUCAGAGGGCACGAGUGUAUGUGCAUGAGUGUGUGUGUGUGUGUGUAUGUGUGUUGCACUGUCUUGCUCUCUGGAGGCUUCAGGUGUCCAGAGGGCUUUAGGCAAUCCUUUGAAAUAGCCAUAUCGGGUUUCCAAAGGAGAUACUGAGGCAGCUCUGUGCAUCCACCGCCUGGAUCUGCCAUGAGGAUUCAGCUUUCAGUGGGGAGGGAAGAUGCCUUGGGUUAUACAGAUACUUCUUCCAGCCUCUCCAAGUGCAUUCAGUCAGCAUCAACUGCCACGGACAGUGGUGAGCCAGGGUUUUCAGGAGGUUCCUUGAAAGCUAGGCCAUGUUAAUGGCUACCCUCUCUGAAUAAAACCUGGUCCCUGGUCGCUCCCUUUGAUCAGCCCCAUCUCCGACUGAUCAUUGACUUUUCCUUCACAUAAGCUCCCAGCACUGAAUUGAAGAUCUGUAGAGGGCUGAGUGUCAGGCUCUCAGUCCACAGCGUGAAGACCAAGGGGUGCCAAGAAGGAAGGCCCUCCUGUGGAGCCUUCUCAGAUACUUGUGAGUCCAGAACAAAGGUGGGCUUCAGGCAGAGACCUUCUGUCUGUCUCCUGGAGGCAGAGAUUUCCCCUUUCAUGGGAUUCACCUGUUAAGUUGAUCAAAUGCCUUGUGCUGAGUUGGACAGUCCUAGAUGUGAUUUCCUUUCUCAUACCAUAAUGUGUUCCACACAAUCCCUUACUAGGUCUCCCCGCUUCUUUCUUUUCUCCUCCUUUUGUCUGCUUCCUGCUGAUAACAACUCCUAUUCAUUGAGCAUUUUCACAUGAGGCUCUGGUCUUGGCACUUUCAUAUAUUCUUUUAUCUAACCCUUACAGCCUCCCUAACAGAUAGGUGGGAUCAUCCGCAUUUUACGGAUGGGCAACCUGAGACUGAGUGAGUUUAAGUAACUGCCUACUGUCACACAAAUGCUAAAAAGAGGUGGCCCUGAAAUUUGAACCCAGGUAUAGAACUGUCUACAAAGCAUUAUGUUAUCCUGCCUCUCCCUUUCACUUUCUUCCCAUGCCCUCUCUUUUUUCUCUUCCUUCAAUUUCUUUUUGUGUUCCCCAUAUUCAUAGAAGAGUCUCAUUUAUUUGCUCAGUCAGAGCACUUACACUUUUAGAGUCCUACUUUCUGGAAUAAUUGUGUAGCAGUACUUUUUGCCUUUCUUAAUAGAUCCUUAAAUUCUUUUAUCCUUUUUCUUGGUUGUCCCAUGGCUUCCACCAACCUCCCAACGAAGUGCACAACAGUUGUCACCUAUGCACUGGUAAAGUUGAAAUAAAGUCACUUUAGCGACCUGAAUUUGACCCUGAGGGGAAGCCAGCCCAACCCUGAGCUGGGUCUUCUGGGGUACUUAGGCUUUCUUCCCUUCUGUGAGCUUCAGCCACUAGAUGGCGCGCUAAACACAUACGCGGGAGAGGACCUAAUACCUCCAUCUCAGUGUCUCCCCAAAGCUCCCACACGCCCCGCAGACACACUGGCAGCGUGCGACUUCUCGUGCCUGCUCAGGAUUUUUCAACCUCAACACCCAAAGCCUUCCCUGGGACCUCAGAAAAGCCUCCCAGGGAAGUCCAGGGAGCACAUGUCUGAUAAGGGCCCAGGAAGCAAGUUAGCAUGCACCCCUUUCUGAAAAAGCCCAUAAUGAUGUAGGAUUUGCAAUGACUCUCAAUUUCUAGUCCAUGAUUUAAGAGCCCUGUUUUUAAACGUCUCCCACCUAGAUCUUUCCCUUUUUUCUGUAACCUAAGAAAGAAACAUUAACUAAUUGCAGAGAAGAGAGAGAAAGAAAGGAGAGAGAUUUUAGAGGGGGGGGGGGAUUGAUGAUGAGUGAGAGAAAGGUAAAAAGAAUAAAAUUCAAAACUAGAUUUUAGAAAUGCUAAUUCAGGGAUUCACUGACAAGACACUGCCUUGACAUUGGUCACAUAGUAAUUUGGAGGGAGGGAAGGAAAGAAUGUGCAAAACAGAUUUGCUUUAGAGACACUGGGAUGGGGGUGAUUAUUUGAUGAAAAUGAGAGUAAAUGUAAGGAGACAUCCAGAAGCUGGUGUGCUAACUGAUCAGAACCACGCUGACCUAAGGCUGCAGCGACCUGAGACCAAGACUCAGGAAAAUAUCCUGUCCCAGGCACCCUGGAGGAACUAUGGGUUCUGUCAUAGUUGGUCCCCUACACAGAGUAACCCUCGGUGGAUCUUACCAACUCGAUUCAAAACAUUGUUCUAUUGCCCGAAAAAAUCAUUUGCUUAAGAGGAAACCAGAAAAAAAUUAAAGAGGAAAAAAGUGCAAACUCUUCAGUGUGGUCUUGAAGGGAAACCACCUCUCCCACUCUGUGAUAACCUGUACCCCCAGCAGGAAGAAUAGCAGAGCCAUUUUUUCACAUCUUUGUGGCAGAGACACAAACAGUGUUCACAUCGGGGAUAAUGCUACGUGGUUUUCCUUUCCAUCUGCAGACUGUAACCAGUGUUCAGUCUUCAGCCACAUUUAUGUCAUUCAGAAUGAAAAUGAACUCUUCUCUUUCUCAGCAUUCACAGUGUAGGACAAACUGAAGAAAUGAACAGCAAAGUCAAGGGGAAAGCCCACAGUGACCAUGAACUCAGGAUUCUGCUGCUGCGGCUACCCAGAGAAAUGCUGAGAAAGGGUAAUCCCCAAAAAGAAACACUCUGAAAUUUUCUCUGAAAUGUCAACAAGCUCACAGGUUUAAUCUGAAGUUGAGGAUUCUGCUUGGAUGUGGUGUUGGAUGUCGAGGAAAGUAGGAGGUCACAGUGUGUUUGGAGAGGCAGAAAGUUUGUUACAAUAGAAAUUGGCAAAGGUUGCCUGGAGAAUACAGGAAAGAGAGCACCUAACUCUGCUUAGAAGGGCAUCAGAGGGAGCUUCAUCCAGGAGGAAAGUCUUGAGCUAAUCCUUGGAGGAAGAGUAGAUGUUGGCCAAGGAAAAAAGACUAGUGGGCAUGCCUGGUGAAGGAACCAUUUAUGCAAAUGUGAGGGGGCUUGAGAGAAUCUGGCGCACUGGAGGACAGCAGACAGCUUUUCAUAGUCGGAGCACAAGAAAUGGAAUUUUGAAUUUUGAAUGGAGGAGCAAUAAGAGACAAGAUGGGAAGAAAAGGCAGAGCGAAGAAUACAGAGCCCUUGGCAUGCCACGGUAAAGGUGUUGGACUUGUUCUGAGUGCGGCAAAAAGCCAUUGAAGGAGUGAGUGUAUCAUGAUAACAUUUGCCUCUUAGAUAACUCUAAAAAUGGAUCAGAGUAUUGUAUAAGGUGUAGAGCCCUGGGUGGAAAGGUUGCAUAAAUUCAUGAUGCCAUUUUAUCCUAAAACUCAGGAGACACCUGAGCCAAUGGGACAAACACACAGAACAACGUAGUCCUUUUCACAUUUUCGAGCUGAUGACCUAGAACCAAACCUGGAUUUCUUUUUUCUUUUUUAAAAACAUCUUAUUGAGACACCUCAGUUUCUUAAGGUUACUCACUCACACACUUACCAACUCAUUCUUCAUUCAACAGACAUUAGUUUGGCAUGAGUUUCCAAGAACUGAGCUCAAAGCUAGAGCAAACUCUCCCCAUCAACUUGAUCCCAGGACAAACCCAUAUCCUUUAAGCUAAGCCAGAAGAGGCAGACUCUUCCCCCUAAGCAGGAGAGAAUGUAGAGCCAGCUCUAUGCACCUCUCUCUCCACCCUCCCUCUGCACUUACCUUUGUGCAUCCAUUUUGUUAUCAGAAUCACAGUGGGAACACCAGUCACACUGGUCCAUGUAGAGUCCCUGCCUUCUAAAUAAUCAUGUGUGGUGACAAAGUGCUGAGCAACCCACAUGCCAAAGCCCUGCAGAGCUUUCUGCAGAGGGCCCUGCAGACUAUUGUGGGCGAAAUGCUAAGUUGGAAUCAGAACUGCAUUGGCUAAAGCAUGUCAGCAUUUUUACCUUAUUAGACAAAUCAGAGGUUAAUGAAAAUCCCCAUGUCGUUUGUAGAGACAUUUCAAAUAAAACCCACACGGUGUCCACAAAGGAAACUGUGAUCUUCCCAGCUCUCCAAUCCAGAAAAGGUGAAAAUUCUACCUUCUUGCUUGCAUAGAUUAUUUGGAAUCUUUAGUGUUAGACUAGGAGCCAACAUACCCAAAGUAGAGAUUUUCUAUUUUUCUGUCAUGCUCUUCUUUCCAAAUUCUACAUUGUCACUGCUUUCACUAGUCCCAGCAACAAAUUACUUGAGGACCUAUGCAUGCAAAGCACUGUUCAGGGCACAGGAGAUACAAACAUGCAUAAUAGAGCAUCACUGUCCUUGAAGACUUCAGUCUAACUGAAGCAGAUAUAAGGAAAAAUGAAUAACACAAUAAGGUAAAAUAUGCUAUGUAUUAAGUACAGCGUCCAGACAAUGGUUUCACAGGAAAGAGGAGAGUUAUCAGAGAUUAAAAGCAAUAGGGAAAAAAGGAUAACAGAGAAAUAAAAUAUGAAAUGAAAGAUACAUAUCCAUUAUGGUAGAUAUUGAUUAUUACAUUUAAAAAUUUACAUUAAUAAGAUUGUUUUUAGACGCUAUUAUCUUUUAAGAUAUACUAAAAAACAACAAAAGCAAAUAAACUCCUGAUACUGUAACCGAAGUUUCUGAAAGGAGAAUAACUACUGCCAUUUCCAUGAACUUCAUGAAGUUUUCUAGCAUGAAUAGAAGAUCAAUGGUAAAAAGUUGAGUCUAUCUUUCUUAUCUAUAUUGUGGAUAUUAUUAUAACUGAAUAAGCUAAAAUUAACUUUAAAAAACAAAACAUUGUGUUGUAAAAUUUGAUUAAGUGCUAUAUACUAAAUAAGGGUGAGAGGAAGGGUUUAUACUUUCUGGUAUAAACCUGAAAGGUAUUCCAGUUAAAAAAAAAAAAAAGUAAAUAUUUUGACUAAAAAAUAAUUUCAAAACUAACCUAAACAUUUUAUGAUAUUAUUUUUCAAUGACAUUUUCCUAUUUGUGUGUGCACACAUAUUUACAACAUAUUAUUAUCAAUCAUAUAGUCAAUAACAAUGUUUGGUUAUUGGUUUUCUUUUCCUUAACUGACAUUGUUCAUCACCUAAGUAAUAAUAAUAAUAGAAUCUAGUACAUUAAAAUGAAAAAAUUACUUCCAAGAGGAGAGGACAUAGACAGCCUGCCAUUGUUCACACGGAAGGUAUAGUUUGACUCCACAUUUGGGUUUUGCAAAGGAGGAGUGUGGGGAUUAUAAAAGUUCAGGGGAUCCACAGAGUGAGAGAUUCAAUCUUCAGAACGCAUAUUUUAAAGAAAGACUGGUAGGGGUCCAGGGUAGAGAUAAUUCCUCUAAACUUGCUUGAGGUUCUAGACUUCAGCAAGAAAGCUUAGGUUCCUUUCUAUCUAUGGAGCCCAUAUACAAAGAUACGAUGGGGCAAAGAUAAGAAUAUGCAUUUGGCUGGAUCAUGCCCCCAGCUGUAUUUCUUAGGGAUCUGCAUCUGGCAGAAUGAGUUGCCGAAAGAAAAAAUGUAUUUCCAAAAAUGUGCUAUAGAUAUGGAGAUCUUUAUAAUCCAUCAGCCUAAAGGCAGAAUUGGUCCUCAGAUCUGAAAUAGGACAUUUAGUUGGAGAGUAAUGUGUUCUAUUUGCAUGGGUUGGAGAGAUUCAGAGCCAAUAGUGAGUCAGGCCAGCACAGUGACCAUAGUUUGGCACUUCUCAAAUUUGGUCCCACAAUGUCAUUUCUCUUAUUUUCCCCAUGUAACUGUAAAUUUCUUGAGGAUUAUUUCUUCCUCUAUUUUUACAACCAAGGGAGUAAACUUCCUGAAGUAUUACUUUAUAUUAUGUAUAGAAUACAAUGCUAUUGUAUAUUUAGGUAAAGCAUGUAUGUCUUAGAAAAUCCUAAGAACAAAACAGAAAUAACCAGAAAUGUACUUAUGAAUCAAUAACAUAAAAGCAUAUAUAUUUUUUUUGUCAAAAUGUAUCCCUCUGAAUUAUUUGUGAAGUACAUAGUAAUAUUUUAAAUAAUUUCAUUAACAGGAGAAAGCAGGUGUCAAUGAAUGUCCCGUCUCAUUACUCUUGCUGAAACUACAUCUUCUUAUUUGGUAUUAUUUAACUUCAUAAACAUUUUUCUCUUGAUUAUAUUAUUUCUAAUUUCUGGUCUUUUGAAAAAAAAUGUUAAGGGAUUUCCAACAGAGGAAAACAUAAAAUUGAAAGAAUCUUAAUGGUGUUGCAAAAUGAAUGCUUAGGAUAAAAUAUUUCAUAAUUUAUCAUUUAGGAUAAAAUAUAAUUUUAAAUUCUGAUAGUACCAUUAAAACUAUACCCAAUACCCAACAAUGUGUUCCAUCAUAUUUCUCAUCAAAACUGGCUCUUUGGAUAUAAACCAUAGCCUUCCAAUAUUGAAAUAUCAUACUGGACAGGUGCACCUAUGUACAUCCCAAUUCACCUGUUGAGGUCUCGUUUAUGAGAGCAGAGUCUUCACUCUCUUAAUCUCUCAAAUUCUCUAAACCACCUUGGGAAUUCAGUCUAAAAAAGAGAUCUAGAACCUUUUUUUCAUUGUCAACUAGUUGUACAAAAUAUCUGAAUGUCCUGUACUUAGUUGCAAAUAUAUGUUGUCCAUUGUACUCUUCAAAUUAAUAUCUCUAUUAACAAAUUGAUACGGGUAACUAGAUCGGUAUGGGAUGGAUAUGUUUCUGAAAGUACUGCCUAGAGAAUGGCCUCACUUUUGGCCAACUGUCUUGUAAAGUGCCAUAUUGAUUUUGUUGUAAAGAACAUUUGAAAUUCUGAAAAGAAAUCAAUAGGAGGCCCAAAUAAUUUAGAUACUAUCGCUUAAAUCAGUAUAUUGCUUUCCAUUAGCUAUUUGAUGUGACAUUUUGAAGUAUAUAUUUUGUGAUUUAUGUUAUUAUUUAUAUAAGUUGGUUAUAAACACUAAAAAAUGAUCUUUUACAUACCUUAUUUAAAAAGUAUAAUUACUUUAAAAUAUUGGCUUUCAUUGUGACUUUGUUAAAUAAUCAAAAUAAAGACUUCUUUGGAAAAAAAAUAAUAAAAGCAAUAGGGAAGUUUUAGAUUAUCAGAGAGAGGAGCAACUCAGGAGGGGGGCAUGGAGGACUAAUAUGAACUCUAGGAUUGGAAAGUAGUAUCUAACAUUCAUGUAACAUUGCCAGGCUCUGUUCCAAGCACUUUAUACACAAAACUUUAUUUUAUUCCUUCCAAUAUAAAUUAUCCCUUAUAUUAAAUAGGAGGCAAAUACAGCACAGAGAGAUUAAGUGACUCGCCCAAAGUCACACAGCCAAGAAGUGGCAAAGUCACGUUGUGAUCUCAGUCAGUCAGCGUUCAGAAUGUGGACUUAACCACUCUUCCACUACACCCCAUAGAAUGUGUGAACAGCAGCCAAGUUUCAUCCAGGGACAGCAGGUUGAGAGUAGAGGUGGGCAAGUAUGUCCAUGGGCAGAGAGUAAAAGCUAAAGGGAGUGGGCUGGGUAUACAGCAGUGCCCCCAAAACCCUAAUAUUCUCAGUGUGGCUGACAGACUAAAAGCCAUUCACUUCUAGAUUUUCAAAGGCAGUUUAUUUUAUAUUUACAAACAUCUAAUGUCAAAAGUCAAAACUCAAGUAGUAAAAUCUUAAAUUCAGGCUGCAGUAGUAUUGGAGUUGAAUGGAAAACUAGGGGAAGUGGUAUAUUGCAUAACUACAAAAAUGAUAACCAAUAUGGCCUUCAAACUGUGAAAAUGAACAAAUUUAGAAUUUCUCUAGAAUUUGUAUUUCUAGAAUCAAUGUGCAU